GGGCCUAAACUGGUUCGGAUUAAUCUAAACCGUGAUGGCUCUCGAAUCAUUGUCAUCCCCUCAUAGGAGGUCUCAGAGCACAAAUUUGUCGCCAUCACCAUCCAAGCAGCAGGCGUCAGUCUUGUGCACCAUCUAUCUAUACUUUGCAAUUACUUUGGGGGCUACAGAUUCCUGCGCGGGGAUGUCAGGAGCUGAAAAGGCACUUUGCCGGUCUAAUGUUUUGCGCCACGGGAAAAUAUAAUUCUUCUGACCACACAUUGCUUCUAAACGAUGUGAUCUAAAUUUUGGAGGCAACCCAUGAUUCUUCCUGCAUAAUCACGCUGUUGAUCGAGUCUCUGCUAAAAGAGAAACUCAUGCUUGUAAUUUUUUUGCAACCUGACUUGUUAAAAAUGAAGUUCUGAUUGAUGAAUAA